rnacentral:misc_RNA from 1 species
GCAAUUUAUGAGAAGAAUGUUGAAGAAAAAAUGCGUCAAUAUAUAAUCGAAAGGAUGGGGAUAAACACUCGAUACAGUGACCUAGAUAUGGGAGGUCUAGAAAGGCGGAGUUUUAGACAAGAAAAGCAAUCUGAAACGGAGCAUGAAGUUGAGGGAAUGAACCUUAAAGAAUUUAUGACGAGUGGAAAUGGUAAAGAGGCAG